CAGUAGCCGCGGUAAGACAGAGGAUGCAAUCGUUAUCCGGAAUGAUUGGGCGUAAAGCGUCUGUAGGUGGCUUUUUAAGUCCGCCGUCAAAUCCCAGGGCUCAACCCUGGACAGGCGGUGGAAACUACCAAGCUAGAGUACGGUAGGGGCAGAGGGAAUUUCCGGUGGAGCGGUGAAAUGCGUUGAGAUCGAAAAGAACACCAACGACGAAAGCACUCUGCUGGGUCGACACUGACACUGAGAGACGAAAGCUAGGGGAGCAAAUGGGAUUAGAUACCCGAGUAGUCCCUGUCUCUUAUAC
rnacentral:rRNA from 1 species